UGCCAGCCGCCGCGGUAAUACGGAGGGGGUUAGCGUUGUUCGGAAUUACUGGGCGUAAAGCGCGCGUAGGCGGAUUGGAAAGUUGGGGGUGAAAUCCCGGGGCUCAACCCCGGAACUGCCUCCAAAACUGCCAGUCUAGAGUUCGAGAGAGGGUAGCGGAAUUCCAAGUGUAGAGGUGAAAUUCGUAGAUAUUUGGAAGAACACCGGUGGCGAAGGCGGCUACCUGGACCGGCACUGACGCUGAGGUGCGAAAGCGUGGGGAGCGAACAGGAUUAGAUA
rnacentral:rRNA from 1 species